rnacentral:rRNA from 1 species
GAUGAACGCUGGCGGCGUGCCUAAUACAUGCAAGUCGAGCGAAUGGAUUAAGAGCUUGCUCUUAUGAAGUUAGCGGCGGACGGGUGAGUAACACGUGGGUAACCUGCCCAUAAGACUGGGAUAACUCCGGGAAACCGGGGCUAAUACCGGAUAACAUUUUGAACCGCAUGGUUCGAAAUUGAAAGUCGGCUUCGGCUGUCACUUAUGGAUGGACCCGCGUCGCAUGAGCUAGUUGGUGAGGUAACGGCUCACCAAGGCAACGAUGCGUAGCCGACAUGAGAGGGUGAUCGGCCACACUGGGACUGAGACACGGCCCAGACUCCUUCGGGAGGCAGCAGUAGGAAUCUUCCGCAAUGGACGAAAGUCUGACGGAGCAACGCCGCGUGAGUGAUGAAGGCUUUCGGGUCGUAAAACUCUGUUGUUAGGGAAGAACAAGUGCUAGUUGAAUAAGCUGGCACCUUGACGGUACCUAACCAGAAAGCCACGGCUAACUACGUGCCAGCAGCCGCGGUAA